rnacentral:tRNA from 1 species
UGCGGCGUCGUCUAAUGGUAGGACAGCGGACUCUGAAUUCGUAUGUGGUGGUUCGACUCCAUCCGCCGCAG